GUGGGACAGCAUCAGGCCAGUUCAACAAAAGGGCAAUUUGGAAAUACAAAUAUAUCUCAUUGCUUCUACUCCAUUGGUUCUUGCCUGACCCUGUGAAAUCCUGAAGUUUGCACUCACCUAACUCCCUCGACAUUCACGGAAAAUGUGGGAGAAUGAACACUACAUGUGCUAAGAUUUGCAGUUAACAACAUCCCCCCCAUUCUUGUGUAAAUAGUGCAAGUUCAUCCAUCACCGUGUAAUCAGGAGACUGUCAGCAUCUACCAGCUACA